rnacentral:rRNA from 1 species
GAUGAACGCUAGCAGAACGCCUAACACAUGCAAGUCGAACGGGCUUGUUGACUUCGGUUAACAAGUUAGUGGCAAACGGGCGAGUAACACGUGCUUAAUCUGCCCUGGAGAGGGGAACAACUACGGAGACGUAGCUAAAUCCCCAUACGCUCAUGAGAAUGAAAAUAUCAUGAGGAAACAAUUUAUUGCUCUAGGAGGAGGGUGCGGCCUAUCAGGUUGUUGGUGAGGUAAUGGCUCACCAAGCCUAUGACGGGUAGCCGGUCUGAGAGGAUGUCCGGCCGCAAUGGAACUGAGACACGGUCCAUACCCCUACGGGGGGCAGCAGUGGGGAAUCUUGGUCAAUGGGGGAAACCCUGAACCAGCGAUUCUGCGUGAAGGAUGAAGCCUCGCGGGGUGUAAACUUCUUUUUUGGGGGAAGACGAAUGACGGUACCCCACGAAUAAGGGACGGCUAACUACGUG